ACGCAGUACGCUGGCGGCGUGCCUAGUACAUGCAUAGUCGUAACAAGGUACCGUAGAGACUCUCUGCUGGUAGGGAAGGCAGUGGAAUGAGCGGCGGACGGGUGAGUAACAGCGUAAGGAACCUGCCUCAAGGAUUGGGAUAACUCCGAGAAAUCGGAGCUAAUACCGGAUAGUUCAACGGACCGCAUGGUCCGCUGAUGAAAGGCGCUCCGGCGUCACCUUGAGAUGGCCUUGCGGUGCAUUAGCUAGUUGGUGGGGUAACGGCCCCCCAAGGCGACGAUGCAUAGCCGACCUGAGAGGGUGAUCGGCCACACUGGGACUGAGACGCGGCCCAGACUCCUACGGGAGGCAGCAGUAGGGAAUCUUCCACAAUGGACGAAAGUCUGAUGGAGCAACGCCGCGUGAGUGAUGAAGGUUUUCGGAUCGUAAAACUCUGUUGUAAGGGAAAACACGUGCGAGAGGGACUGCUCGUACCUUGACGGUACCUUACAAAAAACCCGGGAUAACUACAGGCCGGCAGCCG
rnacentral:rRNA from 1 species